UACAGAGGUCCCAAGCGUUAGGCGGAAUCACUGGGCUUAAAGAGUGCGUAGGCGGUUUUCUAAGUUUGGUGUGAAAUCUCCCGGCUUAACUGGGAGGGUGCGCCGAAGACUGGAAGGCUUGAGUAUGGGAGAGGUAAGCGGAAUUCCUGGUGUAGCGGUGAAAUGCGUAGAUAUCAGGAGGAACACCUGCGGUGUAGACGGCUUACUGGACCAUAACUGACGCUGAGGCACGAAAGCGUGGGUAGCAAACAGG
rnacentral:rRNA from 1 species